rnacentral:rRNA from 1 species
UACGGAGGGCGCUAGCGUUGCUCGGAAUCACUGGGCGUAAAGCGCACGUAGGCGGCUCGUUAAGUCAGGGGUGAAAUCCUGGAGCUCAACUCCAGAACUGCCUUUGAUACUGGCGUCCUUGAGUUCGGGAGAGGUGAGUGGAACUGCGGGUGUAGAGGUGAAAUUCGUAGAUAUUCGCAAGAACACCAGUGGCGAAAGCGGGUCACUGGCCCGAUACUGACGCUGAGGUGCGAAAGCGUGGGGAGCAAACAGG